rnacentral:rRNA from 1 species
UUAUAUUUAUAUUUAUAUAUAAAUAAAAUUAAACUAAAACUGUAAAGGAAAAAAAAUAAUUUUAAUUUCAAUAAUUAUAAUAUGUACCUUUUGCAUAAUGGUUUUAUAAAAUAUAUUAUAAAUUUAAUUUCCCGAAAUUAAUUGAGUUAGAAUAUUUAUAUUAUUAUUGUAGCAAAAAUAAGAAUAAAAAUAUUCUGGAAAUGAAAUGUUAUCGUAAUUAAAAAUAUCUGGUUAUUUAAGUUAAAUUAUAGAUUUAAAAUUUAUUUAUUUUAUUUAUUUUAUGGAUAAGCAUAAAAAGUUUUAACAGUUAAAACUUUAAAUUAAUAUUAAAAAUUUUAGAUAAAUAAAAAUUUAAAAUUAUAGAUUUAUUCUUUAUUCAAAAUUAAAUUUUAUUUUAAUUAAAGUUAAUAAAAAUGUAAAAAUUAGUAUAUAAAUUUUAUAAAUAUAAAUAUAUAUAAAUUUUAAAAAGGAAUUCAGCAAAUUAUAUUUCAUCUGUUUAUCAAAAACAUUGCUUUUUGUAAAUAUAAAAAGUAUUACCUGCCCAAUGAUUAAUUAAAUGGCCGCAGUAUAUUGACUGUGCAAAGGUAGCAUAAUCAUUUGUUUUAUAAAUUAAAUCUUGUAUGAAUGGAAAUAUGAAAAUAUAACUGUCUUUUUUUUAUAAAUAAAAUUUGCUUUUUUAGUGAAGAAGCUAAAAUUAUUUAAAAAGACGAAAAGACCCUAACGAGUUUAGAAUAUUUAAUUAAAUAUAAUUUUAAAUAUUUUUAGUUGGGGUGAUUAAAGAAUAAAUCUUCUUUUUUAUAUAAUUUAUAAUUAUUAAUCCAUUAAUAAUGAAUAAAAUGUAAAUUACCGUAGGGUUAACAGCAUAAUUUUUUUUAAGAGUUCAUAUUGACAAAAAAGAUUGUGACCUCGAUGUUGGUUUAAGAAACUUUUAUAAUGAAGAAGUUAUAAAAAUAAGUCUGUUCGACUUUUAAAAUCUUACAUGAUCUGAGUUCAAAUCGGUGUAAGCCAGAUUGGUUUCUAUCUUUUAAAUUAAAUUUAUUUAUAUCAGUACGAAAGGACAAUAUAAUAUUUAUUAU